UAUCUGUUUUUCUCAAGGAUAUUGGUCAUAGAUAUGUUGUUAUACCCAUGUCUGCAGUUUUUAGUAAUAGGCAACAUGUGGAUUUGUUCAGAUUUUUCUCUGUUGUGAGACAUAAAGAUCGGUAUGAUUUAGUUUCGAAGAAGAGGCUAUGGUGUUUUGUGUCCAAAGAAUUGGACUUGAUUGGUGGAGCAACAGUGACUUCUGUAAAGUUGAUCUACUUUAACUAUUUGAAUGAGUUGGAGAUAUGAUUUAGGGAGAGUUUAAUCCAUAAUUGACAGAAACCUGAUUGUUGAUAGUGUGGAGCAGUUUCUAUAUUAUAUUUCUUUAUGUAAUGUUUCAUUGAAAUUGUAUUCAACAGAAUACAGUGGAUGAUCAGGACACAGGGUUUUCUAAUAAGGAAGCCACGCUGUUGAAAUCACAGAAAUUCACCCCUGAAUUUGAUUUCACAAACCUUAUAUUUUCCAAACAUUGUAAAUGUUCCUCUCUUCAAGGGAUGCUCAACGGAAUUCAUCAAUCAGAUUGUUAUUAAACUACACGAGGAAUUUUUUGUCCCUGGAGAAGUGAUAAUGGAACCUGGAAAUGUGGUAGAUCAAAUUUAUUUUGUCUGUCAUGGUGUACUGGUGGGCAUGCUCCAGGAUGGCAAGAUGUGCAGCCUCAUGAUCCUCAAGUUCAAGAUGCAGCCAACCAUGUUGUGAAGAGCCUUCAACAAAAGUCCAAUUCAUUGUUCCCUUAUGAGCUUCAAGAGAUUGUCCAUGCUAAGGCAGAGGCUAUGGAUUCAUUUGAGCCCUAUGGAAAUGGAUCAAAUGGAGAGAAUGGCGCAAAUGUAGAAAACGACGCAAAUGGAGAAACCAGGGCAGAUGGAAACGGGGCAGAGCAUGCAUUGCUACCCCCACCCCCUGUUAUCCCACCAGAUGUUGUUCCAUUGCGUGCUCAAGUAGAUAUUACACCUGAACCUUUAAAGAAGAAGAUUGUGCACCUACCAAUUGCUAGGCGAGGCCUUGGAACAAAAGGGCAAAAGAUUCCUCUGCUGACUAAUAGAUUUAAAUCUCUUACUAUUUGAACAUAUAUAGGCAACACCUAUAAAUCUUGUGGGGUGAGGAUGCAUUCAAAGAUGGGCAUACAAUCAGCUUCUACAUUGAGCCUAAAGUGUUUAGAUUACUCAUUUGAUGGUUUACAAUGUUUGUAUUUGAUGAACUAUUGUUCAUUUCGUAAAUGGACCAAAUGAAUG